GCCCAGUGAUGAGACCAAGGCAAAUAUGAGCCAACUGACCUGGAGCCGGACUCUCCUUUGUCUGUUAGUGGCAGGUAAUCUUGGCAGUGCAGAGGAGCGUUUCUGCUCUGCUGUAAGGGCCGGCCUACAGUGUACAGGCUAAUCCCAAAUUAUUCCUCGUUAGUGACUGGGGCGUAAUGACCGGGAUGAUGCCGCCAUCAGUGUCUGGGUUUUACCGCGUUUAAAAAGGCAAAGGAGUUCACCCGGUUCUCUGGACGGUGGUUAGCCAUGAGUUCUUUCUUUGGUAAUCUGAGGGCA